rnacentral:lncRNA from 1 species
UCUUCCGUCUUCGAGGCGAUAAAGUUACACUCGUAUCUCGUAUCGUUCCUUCCAUUUAUGAAGAUAAUCUAAGUUAAUUUUGAGGAAUUCUGUUCGAUAUUCUUCGUUCUUCGAGUGGCGAGGUUGGUUUCUAGUAAUUUUACGGGUAUAAAACGAAAUUCGACGAGAGAGUUGAAAAGAAACGGGUUGUCUGUCGAUACGAAGGGUCGUGUCCCUUUAAGGUUGCUCAGUUCGCACGUUUCGCUAAACGAAUGGAAAAGUACGCGCGACGACGAUAGAGAACCUAUUUCUAAUCCUAACGACAGUUCUGGCUAAUGCCAUAUCUCGAUCAACGUAACGAUGGGUGAAACAAUAGAGAAACUACUUCAAAUUUUUAAAAAUGUUCCAUCAGAGUCGUACCACGAUCAGUAUGACAGUGACAGAAGCUUGCUUCAAAUCCUAAAAAAAAGUAUUAGUCAAUGUCACGCCUUGAUUACUAUGAUCACGACAGAAAAUUAAUUUAGGAACCUAACGAGACUAUUAAUCAAUGUCAUUCGUUCAUUAGAGCGAGAAUAACGCGUAACAAUAAUAAAAAUGUUACUUCAAAUCCUAAAAAUGAUAAAAUAUUAGCCACUGUAAAUUCUUAAUAGAAAGCAUUGCAUUCGUUUUUUCUUUCACGAUGGAAUUUCUUGAAAGUAAUUUCCAUCGGAAGCCAUCGAUCGUAACGUCGUAACUGAAAUUCGUGUCGACGGCAGUUUUAUUAUCGGUUACAAUUAUUUGCACGUAACGCGCGUGCAACGACGCUCAUAUUCCGUGUUUCAUCGUCUCCGUGCCAUUGAAUUUAUCGCUACCGUUAUACACCUUUCGACUGGAUCCCCGCCUCUCGUCGUGUCCGUUUGAGUUAAAGCGCCGCUCGAACCGAGUACAAGCGAAGACUACACCGAACACUCUCCUCGCUCUCUUCGGGCUCGACACGAGCCGCUGCAUUUUCAGAACGGUACUCCUAACUGUAUCUUACAUACGUAUACAUGUACAUGUGUAUAUACGUCUGUUUCUACUCACCUGUCGGCAUCGCGACCAAGCACCCGCGCAUACCGAUCGGAGAACAAGGGAAAACAACCGCGUCGAUGACCCUAGACGAGAUGACGAAUUCUUUGAGUAGAACUUAUCCAUCGGCUCGCAUGGAAUUCGAGGGAACCGAGCGAAUCUUUAAUUCACACGUUCCCUUCAUACGUUGUAUAGAUAUUGGAACACAAUUCUUAACACCUGGAUCAUUGACAACUAAAGUGUACAGUUUGUAUCAAAGAAAUUGAAAUUGAAAUUUUACGAAGAAGAUAAAGUUUUAUCCAUGUUUUUCUAUAAAAGUAUUAUUCAAAUCUCCAAAGCUUGCAUUGUUAUAAAUAUGUGAAAUUUCCGUGAAAAAUAAUAAACUAUACUUUGGUAGACCUAGUACUAAAUUCAUAUCUUAUGACAUCACGAAUUUGAUAAUGUUUUUGAAAACCAUCUUAUCUCUUUUGCAUGUGCGAUUCGACGAUUGGAACCUCGUUGUUGGAGAAAUUUGAUAAAUCACAAGUUACAAGCUAGCAGUGAAUCCUUUGUGCGACCAAGAUUUUCUCAUUACGUCGACCCGGUACUAAUUUAUUCGUACACGAUGGGCAAUCACGGAGGAAACGGUUAGUCAUCGUUCAACGAUCCUUCGUUGAAUGAGACGCGAAGAGUCAGCUUUGAAACAAGAAUCCCGCUUCAAUGAGCUACACGAAGCGAAACACGGACCAGAGAGAAACGUCGAAGGAGUGGAGAAAAAAAAGAACGAAAAAAAAGAAGAAGAGAGAGGACAUACGAUGAAAGGGGGAGAAGUUCUCGGCUGGCUCGAGUCAAACAACGUGUAGCGGAUCUUCUACGCGGGUAUACACGCUUAAAAAAUAAUCCUAUAAUGCCAGACCAAGUGGAAUCGGAGUUUUUUAAUGGCUGCAAAAUAGUCUCAAUUAACAGAAUUACAACAGAACGGUGGUUCCAGGCAGUUUGGGAGGUAGCAUGCGGGAAUCGAAAGUGAUUAUGCAGCUGUUCCACGCUGAAAUGUUUCUAAAAUAAGAGACGUAUGUGUGAAGUUAUAAUUACGUGUCUGUAGAAAUUGCUUAUAAAUUUUUAUGUGCGAAAUGGGCUAAAUGAUCUUCAGUUGAUCUCUUCGGUCAAACAAAUCUAGCCAUGCUAAACGAGACAAUAUGUCACUUUUAUACGAACUCUCAUACUUGCAAACUUUAAUUUUACUCUCAUUUUUUGUAAUUCUGUAGUAUUUUUAACAAACAUUCUUUUACCUGAUACCUUCUAU